rnacentral:rRNA from 1 species
AGUGAACGCUGGCGGUAGGCCUAACACAUGCAAGUCGAACGGCAGCACAGUAAGAGCUUGCUCUUACGGGUGGCGAGUGGCGGACGGGUGAGGAAUACAUCGAAAUCUACUUUUUCGUGGGGGAUAACGUAGGGAAACUUACGCUAAUACCGCAUACGACCUACGGGUGAAAGCAGGGGAUCUUCGGACCUUGCGCGAUUGAAUGAGCCGAUGUCGGAUUAGCUAGUUGGCGGGGUAAAGGCCCACCAAGGCGACGAUCCGUAGCUGGUCUGAGAGGAUGAUCAGCCACACUGGAACUGAGACACGGUCCAGACUCCUACGGGAGGCAGCAGUGGGGAAUAUUGGACAAAGGGCGCAAGCCUGAUCCAGCCAUACCGCGUGGGUGAAGAAGGCCUUCGGGUUGUAAAGCCCUUUUGUUGGGAAAGAAAAUCAGCAGGUUAAUACCCCGCUGUUCUGACGGUACCCAAAGAAUAAGCACCGGCUAGCUUCGUG